UACGUAGGUGGCAAGCGUUGUCCGGAUUUAUUGGGUUUAAAGGGUGCGUAGGCGGCCCUGUAAGUCAGUGGUGAAAUACUCCAGCUUAACUGGAGGGGUGCCAUUGAUACUGCAGGGCUUGAGUACAGAUGAAGUAGGCGGAAUUGACGGUGUAGCGGUGAAAUGCAUAGAUAUCGUCAAGAACUCCGAUAGCGAAGGCAGCUUACUAAGCUGUAACUGACGCCGAGGCACGAAAGUGUGGGGAUCAAACAGG
rnacentral:rRNA from 1 species